rnacentral:lncRNA from 1 species
GCCACAUGACUAUCCCAUCAAGAUGUAAAUAAUUGGGGGGCCUAUUAUUGGAGUCUUUUUAAACAUGUUUGGCCCCUAUCUUUUUCCAAUCAAGUAUAGUCAAAUUCAUUCACAUCAUCAUCAAAAUAGUAAAUACUUUUCUUUAUUCAUAUUAUAACAAUGAAAGAUGCUUUUUUUGAACCAUAAAUUACUAGAAAUUGAUUGAAGCAAUAAAUUUUCUCAAGAAAUAAAAAAAUCCCUUUCUGGAAACAGUAUGACUUGCACAUGCAUGCACUACAAAUAAUUUUCUUGACAUGUUGAUCCAUGUUACAUCAAGAAGAUAUUGUUUGUACAAAUCAAACCGUCGAUAAAAAAUAAUGUUAAAAUAAUUAAUUCCAACAUUGCUAAUUCAGUAUUAUCCUUAUACACACUAACAAACGAAUGGUAAGUUGCUUGUAAACUAGUAUAAUUGGGUAGGACCACUUUUAACAAAUGACAAAAAAAAUUGCCCAUAUGGCCAUUUGUUUUCCUAAAUAGCAAAUUUGCAUCAUUUAAGUCCACCACCUACCAAUUUUUCGGUCCUGUAUUUAAAACUUAUCAAAGAAGAGAUCAUAAAUAUUAUUUUUUUAAAAAUGGAGCAAUUAAUUUUCUUGAAUGGUUCAUAAAUAUGAAAGGACAGCCUAUCUGCCAAUUAAAAAUUAAUUUAGGUGUGAACUUAUAUUAUGGGAUAAUAUUAAUGAGGACCCAUAUUUUGUCAGGGGAAAUUGGAGUAGGGCAUGGAAGGUGUUAUUGACCAUCA